rnacentral:rRNA from 2 species
UUUUAAAUGGCCGCAGUAUUUUGACUGUGCAAAGGUAGCAUAAUCAUUAGUUUUUUAAUUAAAAGCUUGUAUGAAAGGCUGGACGAGGUAAAAUCUGUCUCUAUCUAAAUUAUAGUAGAAUUUAACUUUUAAGUUAAAAGGCUUAAAUAUUAUUAAAAGACGAGAAGACCCUAUAGAUCUUUAUAGCUUAUUAAAUUAAAUUAAUUUAGAAAUAUUAAUGUUUUAUUUAACUAAGGUAUUUUAUUGGGGUAAUAAAAAGAUUAAAUAAAUUCUUUUUUAUAAUAAACAUUAAUUUAUGAAUAUUAAUGAUCCAGUUUUACUGAUUAUAAGAUUAAGUUACCUUAGGGAUAACAGCGUAAUUUUUUUAGAGAGUUCAUAUCGAUAAAAAAGUUUGCGACCUCGAUGUUGGAUUAAAGAUUAUUUUAGGUGUAGAAGCUUAAUAAUUUUGGUCUGUUCGACCAUUAAAUCUUUACAUGAUCUGAGUUCAGACCGGCGUAAGCCAGGUCGGUUUCUAUCUUUAAUAAAAUAAAAUAUUUUAGUACGAAAGGACCAAAUAUUUAAUAUAUUUAUAUUUAAUUUAUUGAAUAUUA